rnacentral:piRNA from 1 species
UGGUGAAGCAUGUCCAGGUUCUUGGCAUC